UACAACCAAACAAAUGGUGAGCCACUGCCAGC
rnacentral:piRNA from 1 species